CCAACUUUACAAUCAUGUGUGUUGUCAAAUCUCAAAAUAAAACUAUUGCGGUAUUUUGAUUGAAGUUGCACUUGGUUAAUAUAUCACUAUGGGCAGCCCUGACCAUUACAGUGAGGUAAUGGCCCUAGAUCAGCCUAUGUUUCUCAAAUGACUUAACCUAUUUAAAAAGAGUAAUCUGAAGCUGCCUUGUAUGUCAUAAUUUUCUUUAUAUAUGUCCAUCACAGUUCUAAUAAUAAUUAAGAUAAUGUAAAAAAGUUUAAAAAAAAACAAAUCACAUAGUUACACACCCAAACACAAGUCCUAUCCACAUUUUAUUGUAUUUAGCACAGCCCCACCUAGGUGAUAUGGUAACUGCCACCCUCGCCCUAAUCAAAGUGGCCAACCCACAGAUACAAAGUGAGAAGUUUCUAUUAUACUCAGUACCAGGAAUAGCUACGCUCAAAGAAUACAGCCUUUCCCUAGCACUUUCAUCCACCUACGGGAAAAGGUAAUUAGCAGGUUCAGGUAUUCACAAAGGUUAAGAUUUUUAUGUAAGGAAAGAAAAACUCCACCCCAUCAGACACCUGGCAUAAAGAGGAAGUAAGUUAACAGAGGUCUCUGGCCAGGGUACACACCUGGAGUCAAGAAACUGGCUGCCAGAGAUGUAACAGAAACAGAUCAUGCUUGCAAAUGUUUCUGAGUUCCUAAGAGGACUGGCACGAAACGUGUUUGUUAUUAUCACCAUUAUUCGUUAUUUCUGAGGCACCACCGGCUACAUAACCCACUUAAAAGGCAGAGAAAUCUGAAGCUGUCUGAUACAUUUCAAAGGAUAAGGUAACACUCUCCAGGUAGCCAAGACCUAUAAAUAGGUUUUAAAAAGCAUUGGCUCCUUUUCUAAAAGCCAACUCUGACUAUUAAAGAAAAAUCAUGGAAAUCAGUUCUCUAGUUAAUUUGUAACCCCAAACCUUUGACAAUAACUUUGACAACAUGACAGUAAGUUAACUAAAGUUGGUAUGGGUAUCUCUAUCAAAUUCUAACCUUUCUGGGGCCAGAAGCUGGAGCGAGUAGUUAAUUCUACAUAGCACCUCUCAUCAUGCCCUGUGUAAAGUGGAGCUUAACACCAGAAAAAGACUGACAAUACCUGGAAUACUUUCAGGCUUUUUUUUUUUUUUUUUUUUUUUGCUUGCUUACUGUAUUUCAAUUUAGGUUUGUUUUUUGUUUUUUUUUUGUUUUUGUUUUUUUUUUUUAAUGAUUAUACAGAACACAUCAACAUCUGACGAAUUACAAAUUAAUCAAAUGCAAUGGGAAAUAUGUAAAUUCCAGGCCCUUUCCAGUGCUCUUACAAUCUGUUCUCUUGGAAGGAAUUCACGAGCUGUAAUUCUCGAGGAGAUUCUCAUCUGUAGGUUUUAGGAUUUUGCAUCAUGCACCAUUGUUCUGGGUGCCAUGGACAGAGCAGUGAACAAAAUCAAGUCCCUAGCCUCUGAGAGCUUAUAUUUUCUGGGGGAUGAUAGACAGGCAGACAAGCAUGCUGUGUCAGAGUAGGACGGUCACUCAGUGGCCUGAGGCAAAAACUAGGGGGAGGAAGGAGGUGAGGUUUACACUGGGCUACCUCAAGGUCCUCCAGGCUUGCUCUGGGCUCCUCCCCUUGGCCUCCCUAGCACCCAGGAAGUCAUAACAACCAGGACAACACACAUCUGUUCAUAUCUCUCUCCUGCUGAGACUCUGCGGGGGUUCCCCCACUUGUCAGAAAGACCUGGGUUAAACAAGAACCUCAUUCACCUUCCUCCUGGACGGCUCCCAGUAAAAAUGAGUCAGUUGGACCUCACAACACCCUGUGCCCACCACAAUCUCGGCUCCCUA
rnacentral:lncRNA from 1 species